UACGAAGGGAGCUAGCGUUGUUCGGAAUCACUGGGCGUAAAGCGCACGUAGGCGGAUUUGCCAGUCAGGGGUGAAAUCCUGGAGCUCAACUCCAGAACUGCCUUUGAUACUGGGAAGCUUGAGUCCGGGAGAGGUGAGUGGAACUCCGAGUGUAGAGGUGAAAUUCGUAGAUAUUCGGAAGAACACCAGUGGCGAAGGCGGCUCACUGGCCCGGUACUGACGCUGAGGUGCGAAAGCGUGGGGAGCAAACAGG
rnacentral:rRNA from 1 species